rnacentral:rRNA from 1 species
UACGGAGGGGGCUAGCGUUGUCCGGAAUCCUUGGGCGUAAAGCGCGUGUAGGCGGUCCGGUAAGUCCGCUGUGAAAGUCGGGGGCUCAACCCUCGGAUGCCGGUGGAUACUGUCGGGCUUGAGUACGGAAGAGGCGAGUGGAAUUCCUGGUGUAGCGGUGAAAUGCGCAGAUAUCAGGAGGAACACCAAUUGCGAAGGCAGCUCGCUGGGACGUUACUGACGCUGAGACGCGAAAGCGUGGGGAGCAAACAGG